UACGAAGGGUGCAAGCGUUAUUCGGAGUUACUGGGCGUAAAGAGCGCGUAGGCGGUUUUUUAAGUCAUUUGUUAAAUCUCCCGGCUUAACCGGGAACAUGCAGGUGAAACUGAAAGACUAGAGUGUAAGAGAGAGAAGUGGAAUUCUCGGAGUAGCGGUAAAAUGCGUAGAUCUCGAGAGAAACACCGGAGGCGAAGGCGGCUUCUUGGCUUACAACUGACGCUCAAGUGCGAAAGCGUGGGGAGCAAACAGG
rnacentral:rRNA from 1 species